GGACAGUGAGGGGUGUGUCUCUGUUUGGGGGAGCUGGUCGCGCGCCCGAGCCGGACCCACCCGAGUCAGGGGGCACCCGGGUGACCCUCCCUUGACGUGGACCCAACCCCGACGUUCAGGGCGGCUCGCCUCUCUAGGAACCGGGUCCUUCCUUCCCCUUGCGGCACAUCUGUCUGUGUCCUUUGGGGUCUUGCGUGGCUCCUGCCUGUGCGUGUCUUUGCUUCGUGGUCAGUACGGAAGCCCUCGGCAGGGUGGGUAGGAGAUGGUGGAGAAUGGAGACGCUGGGUGUCCAGCCGGUCUGGAGGGCCAACUAAGUGUCUGUGAGCCUGCUCGGAAGUCCGGGCAGCCCAGAGUGUCCGGAAUGACCGUUUGGACUUGAGGACCGCGGAGGGUGCGUGCAGGGGCGUGGCCGCGCGCGCGCGUCAGGUGAGACCGUGCGGCACGGGCCCCUUCGGGAGGGGCGGUGGGCAUCCCUUCCCUUCCCUUCCCUUCCCUUCCCUUCCCUUCCCUACCCUACCCUACCCUACCCUACCCUACCCUUCUUCCCUACCCUACCCUACCCUACCCUACCCUUCUUCCCUUCUUCCCUUCCCUACCCUUCCCGGGACCCCCCGCAGCUGUAGCACCCUUCGCCUAGGCCCCGGAGGCGAGCGUGCAUGCGUGCGUGUGCCCCUGGCCGGACCCAGCGAUCGGACCUCGUCCCACCAGGCGGGAUGCCAAGCUGGCUCCGGGAGCGCGCGUCCCUUGGCGGGACGCUUGGUUCCAAGUUCCAACAACAGAGAGCCUGCAGCGUGGGUUCUCUGUCCCCUCCCGCCAGCACCAGCCCUCCUCCAGGCCUGAAAGCGGGACAUGUGCAUCGGUGAUAGCCGUCUUGGCGGAUACUGGGAGUGUGCGUCCUGAACAGACUUAUUGACGUGGCUUCUUUAGAUCUUUAAGGCGUGAAUAGUUCUGCUAGUGUUCGGGUUCUUCUCAGAGUUGCUGUAUACGUAGUUGUAGCCUUGGUGCGUCAAUGGGAAGAGGGAAAUGCAGGGGCCUCCUAGUCUGCCAUCUUAAUCAAGAUUCCCAACCAAAAUGGACAAGGAAACCACGGUUUAUUUAUCUGAGAAAUACGGGAAAAUAAAAAACUAAGAGUUGAUUAUGGUUAUAUUUACAGAGCUUUGUUUCUCUCUUUAGUUCGGAGUAGAGACUGGUGAUAUUUAACAUACUGGAGAAAUACUCGGGCUUAAGUGAACUGAGCGGUAUCCAUUUUUAAUGGGCUUUUGUAUGAGAAUGCAAGCAUAUGGUAGGAGAUCCUGAAGGACGCCCACUAUACAAUUACAGUGUCAGCUACGGGAAUGGCAUGAACAUGAAGGCUGAUGGCCAAGAGAACUCAUUAUUUGCUGACCUAACGUGUGCCAGACGCUCUUCUUAAUAAUGGAAAUACAGCCAUU